rnacentral:rRNA from 1 species
UACGUAGGCAGCGAGCGUUGUUCGGAAUUACUGGGCGUAAAGAGUGUGUAGGCGGUGUUCUAAGUUCGGUGUGAAAUCUCCUGGCUUAACUGGGAGGGUGCGCCGGAAACUGGAGUGCUCGAGCGUGGGAGAGGAAAGCGGAAUUCCUGGUGUAGCGGUGAAAUGCGUAGAUAUCAGGAGGAACACCUGCGGUGUAGACGGCUUUCUGGACCAUUGCUGACGCUGAGACGCGAAAGCGUGGGUAGCAAACAGG